GGAGUAGCAAUACUCCCGCCGGCGACCGGCGCACGGGUGAGUAACACGUAUGAAACCUGCCCGUAGCAGGGGGGGAUAAGCGGAAGAAAUUCCGUCUAAUACCGCGUAACAACCCUUGGAGGCAUCUCCUCGGGUUUAAAGGAAGCGAUUCCGGCUACGGAUGGUCAUGCGUCGCAUUAGCUGGUUGGCGGGGUAACGGCCCACCAAGGCGACGAUGCGUAGGGGUUCUGAGAGGAAGGUCCCCCACACUGGUACUGAGACACGGACCAGACUCCUACGGGAGGCAGCAGUGAGGAAUAUUGGUCAAUGGCCGCAGGGCUGAACCAGCCAAGUCGCGUGAGGGAUGACGGUCCUAUGGAUUGUAAACCUCUUUUGUCAGGGAGCAAAGGGCGCCACGUGUGGCGCUUUGCGAGUACCUGAAGAAAAAGCAUCGGCUAACUCCGUGCCAGCAGCCGCGGUAAUACGGAGGAUGCGAGCGUUAUCCGGAUUUAUUGGGUUUAAAGGGUGCGCAGGCGGAAUGUCAAGUCAGCGGUAAAAUUUCGGGGCUCAACCCCGUCGUGCCGUUGAAACUGGCGUUCUUGAGUGAGCGAGAAGUAUGCGGAAUGCGUGGUGUAGCGGUGAAAUGCAUAGAUAUCACGCAGAACUCCGAUUGCGAAGGCAGCAUACCGGCGCUCAACUGACGCUCAUGCACGAAAGCGUGGGUAUCGA
rnacentral:rRNA from 1 species